CCUCAUUUCUUUCCUCACCGGCGCACAUCUUCGACCAGGGGCAGAGCCGAGCCCUAGCCUCGCCUUCUUCUGGUUUUCUUGCGUUGUGCCCUAGGUUUUCUCUUGCUGUUGGAUCCGAACAAAACAGUAGUGAGUAUCAGACAGGAGCAAGCAGUGACGAGUUCUUCUUGUGUCUCUGCUUGAUAGUGCCGAAGACAAUACCGAGCUGUGUUUUAGCCGGAUCUUGGAGGGUACUAGAAUUCCAGAAGAGGAUAAAUUGCUGUGGGGUUUUUUCUUAGAUCUGGCAGUCAUUGCUUCCAGCAAAAUUCUUUGAUUUCCAACCAAGAACGGUUGUGGAAAUUGAGGAUUUUGACGCGAGACGAGUAUC